rnacentral:lncRNA from 1 species
UUUUUUUUUCUUUUUUGUCUUUUUGCCCUUUCUUGGGCCACUCUCGCGGCAUAUGGAGGUUCCCAGGCUAGGGGUCUAAUCGGAGCUGUAGCUGCCAGCCUAUGCCAGAGCCACAGCAACAUGGGAUCCGAGCCAUGUCUGCGACCUACACCACAGCUCACAGCAAUGCCAGAUUGUUAACCCACUGAGCAAGGGCAGGGAUCAAACCUGCAACCUCAUGGUUCCUAGUCGGAUUCAUUAACCACUGCGCCACGACGGGAACUCCUGGUCUCUGUUUUUAAUGAAGGUUAAUGCCAAUCCUUGGACUUUCAAAGCCCCUCCCUUUACACUCCUGGUGGCUGGACAUGUCACACCCCUGCUUGAAAACCUUGGCAGCUCAGCCCUUUCCCGCCGUGUCUCCGGACCCACGCCCUACUCAGCUGAGCCUUGUCACCUCUCCUUGACGUGGCCACAUGUUCUCACCUCUGAGCCUUUGCCAUUUAGUCCUGCUAAGAAUGACUCUUCUUCCUUUGUCUGCCCAACUCAGGACCGCCCAGUCUUAAAGGCUCGGUUAGAGAAAGCUUCCAAAGCUCCCAGAGUGAGUCACCGUCUCCUCUAGGCCCCCACUGUCAGACUGUUUUCCUUUCCAUCUGCACGAACCACCCUGCAUUGUGGGCCACCGUGCGGCCACCUGCUCAUGCGUCCCCGCUGGACGGCGAGCUCCUUGGAAGCAAGGCCUGACUCUCAUCCACCUCAACUCCUGAAAAAGUUCUUCCCCUUCUUCUGUCCUUCUUUCCCAUUUCCUUCCCCUUCUCCCUUCACCCUGUCUGUCCUUCAAAAAAUAUUUAUUCAGUCUUGCAAUGUGCCAAGCCAGAUGCUGGGGUUCAAGGAUGAAGAAAAAAGAGUCCUAGUAGUCAUGGAGUUUAGUGGAGGAUGUAGAUAGAUGAGCAAAUUCUCAUACAGUUAAUCAACAGAUUGGUUAGCACCAUGGUAAGUGCUCUGCUGGAGAACCACGGCAGGCUGGGUCAUACAGGCCAGGACUACCCGAGCUUUCUUAAGAGGCACCUGAUGGAGUUCCCUAGUGGCUCAGCAGGUUAAGGACCAGCAUUGUCACUGCUGUGGCGUGGGUUUGAUCCUUGACCUGGGAACUUCUGGAUGCUUCAGGUGUGGCCCCAUCCCCCCAAAAGAAGCACCUGAUGGUGAAGAGUAGGUUGCUAUCAUCUCUCUUCCAAUCUUUCCUCGCAAUCCAGCAUCACGUUGGCUUCACUGUCAGAACAUCCCUGUCGUCAGGGCAGUUUUCAGCUUGGGGUCCUUUAUGAACUCCAGAUUUUUUUUACCUAUUCUUGCUCAGACUCAUUCCUUCCCUCCACUGGGCACUUAUAGGGGAUCUACUAGCCCGGUUUAGACCAGAUCAGUGGGGCAGUGAGGCCGUUUAUAACGGAGCACAGGAGAGCGCUAAGCCUAACUCAGCUCAGCAGGGUCAGUAUCAUGAAUGACCUCAGUCAAGUCUGCAAGCAACCCUGGGGAGUGAGGGCCUCUUUGACUUGGACAGAAACCAAACUGGAAACGCUUUGGCUGCUAGAGGCUGGGAGGAGAGAAAGAAGCACGAUGCCUAAUUCAUUCUCCUGGGCAAGGGCAGAUAGAGAGUGGACACCAUGUUUCCAGGGUCUCUGUAGGGGUGGAAAUGGGCUAGUGCACAUCUUUGUCAAGACACACACAGUGAAGACUAGCGCAUCUGGCUGCCUUGACACCACCUGCCUGUGGUACUCCGCAACCCACUCCCCACCUGUUCCUUGGUUUGUCCUGAUAACUCAAGACCGUGGCACUCACCCACGCCUAUUCUUCGUGGACAUGAAUUAGCGCCUGAGAUUUGGAGAAUCUCCCAAAUGAUGAUGAUGCUUCUUAGGUGCAAACUUUUUAUUAUCCACACGAGCAAAAAAUGCUCAUUGAACACCCAGCGUGUUCAAAACACUGUUGGGUUCAGUGGCGUAAUGAAAUCACCCUGAUUUUGAUUACUCUAAGCUAAUCACCCCAGCUCCCUUAAUCUCAAUACUUUAGGUAUAAAGAGGGGAAUUAAAGAUGCAGCCCCUGGAGUUCCCGCUCUGGUGCAGGAGGUUAAGGACCCGGCGUUGUCACAGCUGUGGCUUGAAUUCAGUCUCUGGCCCAGGAACUUCCAUGUGCCUCAGGUGCAGCCAAAGGAAAAAAAAAAAAAAAAAGAUGCAGCCCCCAUCCUCAAGGAACUUACAACUGCAUGGAACUAACCAGAGGGCAACCCAGUCCCUCUCCUCCUCUGGGCCUCGGGCUCCUGCUCUGUAAUAACAAGGAGGAUCAGACUCCCUGACCCCGAGUCCUAUCCAGGCCUCAGAUAAUUCCAGUGCAGGUUCUACACAUAAGGUCACCGGGCGACGUGCAGGAAUCAUUUAAGUCCCCUUAAGACAGGUGCCAGGAAACCUACCAAUUGGAUAAUUAGGUUUGCCCCGACCCCUCAUGCCUUGAGGGAGCAGACGUGGACCUCAGCUGCCCUCCCCACAGCGGCUGGCGGAAGCGCUGGGCGCCGCAGGGGUCCCCUGGUGGAAUGUGGCCAUGGUGGGCGCUGGGACAGAGGGCUCGGCUGACAGAUCUAAGGCUGCCGCCUGCCACUGGGUCUCCAUAGGGCGGCCUGCAGGCCUCCCUCCUAUGGAAUGACGAGCCCCGCUCCCCCCUACCUGGCGUUUAAUCUUUAAUGCAGCCCCAGCUGCCCUCGGGCAGGACCCAUCAACCCACCCGCUCUGAUAAAAGCGAUAAUUAGCUCUUUUUCAACUUUUCACUUCUCCCCCCCCCUUCCACUCUGAUGUGUGAGCAUUGGGAGAAUUCCAGCUAAUGGGCCUGCCCUCAGCCAAUUCUCGGGCCCAUGCAGGCCGGAAUGCACGGGGUCAUUAGCCGGGCCUCCCGGGCAGGGGCCUGUGCUCAGGACGUGCUCGGGGUAGAGGCCCCGGCCUCGGCGGGGCAGACUUGCCCAGACCUGCUGGAUCCUACCUUCCUCAGCAGCAGCCCCUUUCUGUACCACGGCAGAGGCCACUGGGAGGUAGCCUUAGGCUCCCAUGGGGCCAGGCCGAGAGGACACGGGGCCAUCCGUCCCCAGGCAUCGCCCUGCUUCCAGGGCAGGGAGCCCAGCCGGGGUUCAGCCACCGGUCAGUGCAGAGGCUGCUGGCUGGGAUCCCCCCAGCCCCGCCCCAUCAGUGACUUAUAAUAACUAACUUGUGCACGGUGCCGGGCCCUUAUGAAGUGCUUCCAGAUCCCUCAGCUCAGAGGUAGCCACAGCCGAGGGCUUAACCAUGCAGGGUCAGGAGCUGCACCUGAGGGGUGUGGGGCAGUGCUGGCUGAGCUCCUCUUCCCUUCUUCUCUGACCAGUCUGGGGCCAGUGCCCCCAGACUCAUUGGUCGCCUAGUGCCAGAGGCUGCCUGCACCUAGAACUGUGGGGCCUCCAUCACUAAUGCCACAGGGUUGCAGGCACUCAGACUGCCCACGGCUAUCAGAGUCGAGAGCCACUUCCUCCCAGGGUCAUAAACAGGGCCACUGGUGCCUACAAUCAGAGGGUACAGUUUGCCAGGGUUACCUUCACCUAGAAAACCAGGGCUAACUUUGCCUGGUACAGGUGACACAUGGAACCACCGAGACCCAUAGGACACAGGCACCUAGAACCCCAGAAAAGCCCACCUAGGGCUGCCAUAAACUAGAACUGUAGAGUCACCAUGAGCCACAGAGUCAUGGAGGUGUCACUCAUCCUUGGACAUAAAUUGGCCUGAGGAACUCUGUAGUAAGCUCAUGCUGGUACUUAGUGAGUGGCUUUUCCCAGGCAGGCUCCGGGAAUACCUCCCUUCACUGACUCUGCUCGGCAAUGAACUACCGCGGAGACUUCUGCGCCGCUUCUUCCACUGCCUGAAUCGAAGGGUUUCCUUGCUCAGGUAGACCCUGCAUUCUCACCGUGAACUUUCCAGCGGGAAAAAAAGAGGUGGCAUGUGUCACAUAGGUGGAUCCUGCACACCCAGCAUUCAGCCCUGAGAGGGGCCUGUCCAGCAAGGAAGGGAGUGCAUGACCUAACACAGCCUCCUCUUUUUCAGAAAGUACUUUGGGGAGUAGGAUCAUAGGACUUCCUGGAGGAGGCAGCACUAAUGCCCCAGAGACAAAGCAGAACAUUAUCAGGGACUGAGCCCUGGGUCCAGGGCUUCCCUAAAUCACACCUUCUCCAUCCCACCCACCCGAGGGCAAUGUCUCCCCGUAAUUUUCAGCCUUGGACAGUACUGUGAUUUUGCUGAGAUACCCAGGGAGAGCCUGGGAAAGGACUUCUCUCUUUUCUUUUUUUUCUUCUCUUUUUUUCUUGUCUUUUUAGGGCCUCGCUUGUGGCAUAUGGAGGUUCCCAGGCUAGGGGUCGAAUCGGAGCUGUAGCCUACACCACAGCCAUAGCAACGCUAGGUCCGAGCCACAUCUGAGACCUACACCACCAGCUCACGGCAAUGCUGUAUCCUUAACCCACUGAGCGAGGCCAAGGAUCAAACCUGAGUCCUCAUGGAUACUAGUCAUAUUUGUUUCCACUGAGCCGCGAUGGGAACUCCGACUCCUCUCUUUUCACUUCCCUCCCCUCCCCCAGCCAGCAAAUGCACAGCUCCAGAAUAUCACAAGUGUGCACAGAAAAAGGUCCCUCCCCCUGGUGUGUGAGGACCGCACAGGUGAGAAGCAUGGGGAUGACAGGGUUGGAGGAGAAUUAGAGAUUAAAGCAAAGAGGAAGGUAAGGAAGCAGGUGAAGCAGAGAGACAACCAAACAAAAAUAAAAGUCAUGCUGAGGGUUUUGCCUUGUGGAACCUUAAUAUUCAGGAAGCUGUAGAGAAUUGUAAAUUUCAAUAGUAAUAAUAAGAGCACUGAGCCUCCCUCAGGUGUUGCGACCCUCCUACACUGCUGGUGGGAACAUAAAAUGGUACAGCUGCUUUGGAAAACACUGACAGUUCCACAAAAUGUUACACGUAGAGUUACCAUAUGACUCAACAAUCACACUCCUGGGUAUUUACCCAAGAGAACUGAAACACAUGUCUACGCAAAAACUGUACAAGAAUGUUCCUUGCAGCAUUAUGCCUAAUACUGGAAAGCUGGAAACCCAGUGAUCACCGACUGGUGAAUGGAUAGGCAAAUGUGGUCCAUCCUUGCGACGGAAUAUUAUUAGGCCAUCAAAAAAAGAAGUACCACAACAACUAUGGAGAACAGUAUGGAGAUACCUUAGAAAGCUAUACACAGAACUACCAUAUGACCCAGAAAUCCCACUCUUGGGUAUAUAUCCGGACAAAGCUUUCCUUAAAAAAGACACAUGCACCCCCAUGUUCAUUGUGGCACUAUUCACAAUAGCCAAGACGUGGAAACAACCCAGAGGUCCAUCGACAGAUGAUUGGAUUAGGAAGAUGUGGUAUAUAUACACAAUGGAAUACUACUCAGCCAUAAAAAAGAAUGAAAUAAUGCCAUUUGCAGCAACAUGGAUGGAACUAGAGACUCUCAUACUGAGUGAAGUAGGUCAGAAAGAGAAAGACAAAUACUAUAUGAUAUCACUUAUAUCUGGAAUCUAUAAUAUACGGCACAAAGGAACUUUUCCACAGAAAAGAAAAUCAUGGACUUGGAGAAUAGACUUGUGGUUGACAGGGGGGAGGGGGAGGGAGUGGGGUGGAUUGGGACCUUGGGGUUAACAGAUGCAAACUAUUGCCUUUGGAAUGGAUUAGCAAUGAGAUCCUGCUGUGUAGCCCUAGGAACUGUGUCUAGUCACUUACGAUGUUGCAUAAUAAUGUGAGAAAAUAGAAUGUGUACUUGUAUGUAUAACCGGAUCACCAUGCUGUACAGUAGAAAAAAAAUUGUAUUGGGGAAAUAACAAUUUAAAAAAUAGAGAUAUUCACCCCCCCCCAAAAAAAAGUACUAAUGCAUGAUACAAUAUGGUGAGCCUGGAAAAUAUCCAGCUGAGUGGAAGGGUAUUUCCACCUAUUAUAUGAUUCCAUUUAUAUGAAAUGGCCAGGAUAGAAAAGUCCACAGAAGCAUAAGAUAGAGCAAUAGUUGCCUGGAAAUAGGGGGAGGAGACAAUGCGAGUGGGAGUAAUUGCUAAUGUAUAACCUUAACUCCACCUUCUACUAGUCCAGGGACCUUGAUGAGACUCAGAGUUCUCAUCUGUAAAAUGGGCACACUGAUCUUUAUGUUACAUAGACACUGCUUGGAGUGCGUGGGCAACAGUACUAUUGGAGAUGCUUCCUUUACACCCUCCUCCCAUCGUUUUCUAUUUCUCAGAAGCGCCAAUCACCCUUAAGAAGGAGAAGUGUUUAUGAGAGACUCUUACACCUGCUUCUGUCAAUUCACUCCUCUGUGAUCAGCAUUGCAGGACAGGGCAGGAUGGGGAGACCACAGCUGUAGCUAAUUUCUGAUAGAAGCAUAUUUGGAAGCAUAUUUAUGUUUUUUCUUUUUUUCUUUCUUCCUUCCCUCCCUCCCUGCUUUCUUCUUUCCUUUUCAUCCAAAAAAGGGACUGGAGCCAUCCUCGAUUCAUUUAUUGUUGACUGCUAUCUAUAGGCCAAGCUCUGUGUUCUAGGAUAGAAUAUGGGCUAAGACAGUACAGGGUCUAUCCUUCAUGGGGCUUCUACUCUGGUGAGGAAAGGCAGAUAAUGAAGAUGCUAACCUAAACAAAUAACCCCAUCCAAAAAUGGGUAGAAGAUCUAAACAGACAAUUUUCCAAAGAUAUACAGAUGGCCAAAAAACACACGAAAAGAUGUUCAACAUCACUCAUUAUUAGAGAAAUGCAAAUCAAAACCACUAUGAGGCACCACCUUACACCGGCCGGAAUGCCAUCAUUAAAAAGUCUACAAACAGUAAAUGCUGGAGAGGGUGUGGAAAAAAGGGAACCCUCUUACACGGUUGGUGGGAAUGUAAAUUGUUGCAGCCACUGCGGAAAACAGUAUGGAGAUUCAUCAGAAAACUAAAAAUAGAAUUACCAUUUGAUCUGGCAAUCCCACUCCUGGGCAUCUACUCAGAGAGAAAACCAUGACUCGAAAAGACACAUGUACUCCGGUGUUCACUGCAGCACUACAUACAAUAGCCAAGACAUAGAAACAACCUAAAUGUCCAUCGACAGAGGAGUGGAUCUAGAAGAUGUGGUACAUGUACACAAUGGAAUGUUACUCAGCCAUUAAAAGGGAAGAAAUAAUGGCAUUUGGAGCAACACGGAUGGAUCUAGAAAUUAUCAUGUUAAGUGAAGUUAGCCAGCCAGUGAGACACC